CAAAGUGUAGCUUAAUUAAAGCACCUGGCCUACACCCAGAAGAUUUCAUUUUAAUGACCGCUUUGA
rnacentral:tRNA from 1 species